rnacentral:rRNA from 1 species
AUUGAACGCUGGCGGCAGGCUUAACACAUGCAAGUCGAGCGGGGUGAUGGUGCUUGCACUAUCACUUAGCGGCGGACGGGUGAGUAAUGCUUAGGAAUCUGCCUAUUAGUGGGGGACAACAUCUCGAAAGGGAUGCUAAUACCGCAUACGUCCUACGGGAGAAAGCAGGGGAUCCAUUGUGACCUUGCGACCAUAGAUGAGCCUAAGUCGGAUUAGCUAGUUGGAGGGGUAAAGGACUACCAAGGCGACGAUCUGUAGCGGGUCUGCGGGGAUGAUCCGCCACACUGGGACUGAGACACGGCCCAGACUCCUACGGGAGGCAGCAGUGGGGAAUAUUGGACAAUGGGGGGAACCCUGAUCCAGCCAUGCCGCGUGUGUGAAGAAGGCCUUAUGGUUGUAAAGCACUUUAAGCGAGGAGGAGGCUCUUUUGGUUAAUACCCAAGAUGAGUGGACGUUACUCGCAGAAUAAGCACCGGCUAACUCUGUGCCAGCAGCCGCAGUAA